GAUGAAGAACGCAGCGAAUUGCGAUAAGUAAUGUGAAUUGCAGAUUUUCAGUGAAUCAUCGAAUCUUUGAACGCACAUUGCGCCCCUUGGUAUUCCAUGGGGCAUGCCUGUUCGAGCGUCAUUUGUACCUUCAAGCUCUGCUUGGUGUUGGGUGUUUGUCUCGCCUCUGCGUGUAGACUCGCCUCAAAACAAUUGGCAGCCGGCGUAUUGAUUUCGGAGCGCAGUACAUCUCGCGCUUUGCACUCAUAACGACGACGUCCAAAAGUACAUUUUUACACUCUUGACCUCGGAUCAGGUAGGGAUACCCGCUGAACUUAAGCAUAUCAAUAAGCGGAGGA
rnacentral:misc_RNA from 1 species